rnacentral:lncRNA from 1 species
UCCUGUUGCUUGGCAAUCACAGUGGGUGUCUGUCGACAUGCUCCCCGCCUCUCACCUGCCACGGAGCAGGUGCUCAACCCCGCCCACUCUCAACUAGGGCGAGCUCUGCAUUCCACGCAUUCUUCCACUCCUGUUCUGCGACCACUCCAGUUCCAAAAAAGCUCGGUGGUACUACGAAUCCUCUCUAAAUCAUACUCCUCAUCUGUUUAUUCCUUAUUUCUUCCUCCAGGAGCCCACUUUCUCUUGAGAAAGCUGCAGAUCCUCGUUCAGCAUGGUGCACCAGGGUUCCCAAAGACCUGAUGUGUGAGGCUUCUUUGCCUUUUCAUAGGUCUUGGCUCAAAUCCUGACUCCCCUGUGAAGAUGUCCUGACCCUCCCAGCCUAGAGCCACUACUCCCUCCUUGAAUCUCAGGAUCUCCAACUGUGACAUGGCCAUACUAUUUGCCACAUCCCCACAGACGGAUUGUGAUGAGGAAGGAAAGAGAGAGUCCAUGUAGCAUGCUAGAUGCGGUGUCUGGUGCAGGCCUGUGGGCUCCCCUAAAAUGUGGCACUCCAAUGACAAUCCAUCCCUCUCUAUGGAGCCUACGACAGCACACACCUCAGCGUUCUAGAGAGGACAGGUUUCAGGCCACCGGAGGAAUUUAGGGAGUGACUACAGGAGCGACCUUAUCCCACACUGUUUGAACAAGCACUGUGGGCCAAUGGCCAUGGACUGAGCCAGUGGAAAGUGGGGCUUGGACCCCUCUGAUUGGACGUUUCCAUCAUCCCAACGAUGCGUUAGUUCCAAGUCAUGAAGGUGGGUAUUUCCAGAAAUAAAACAAUAUAACCUGGAAAAGAACAGACAGAAUCAGAUACAUUAGAAGUAGUUGGAGUAAUAACUUCAGUUUCUAGGG